rnacentral:rRNA from 1 species
GACGAACGCUGGCGGCGUGCCUAAUACAUGCAAGUAGAACGCUGAAGAGAGGAGCUUGCUCUUCUUGGGUGAGUCGCGAACGGGUGAGUAACGCGUAGGUAACCUGCCUUGUAGCGGGGGAUAACUAUUGGAAACGAUAGCUAAUACCGCAUAACAAUAGGUGACACAUGGCAGUUAUUUGAAAGGGGCAAUUGCUCCACUACAAGAUGGACCUGCGUUGUAUUAGCUAGUAGGUGAGGUAACGGCUCACCUAGGCGACGUUACAGAGCCGACAUGAGAGGGUGAGCGGCCGCCCUGGGAGUGUGACACGGCCCAGUGUCCCUCGGGAGGCAGCCGUACGGCAACGGCGGGCAGGGGGGCAGAACUGUCCGAGCAACGCCGCGUGAGUGAGGAGGGUUUCCGGAUCGUAAAUGUCUGUUGUAAGGUAAGAACGAGCUUUAGAGUGGAACGUUGACACUGUGACGGUAGCUUAUAAAGAAGCGACGGCUAACUACGUG